GAUGAACGCUGGCGGCGUGCCUAACACAUGCAAGUCGAGCGAUUCUCUUCGGAGAAGAGCGGCGGACGGGUGAGUAACGCGUGGGUAACCUGCCCUGUACACACGGAUAACAUACCGAAAGGUAUGCUAAUACGAGAUGAUAUGCUUUUAUCGCAUGGUAGAAGUAUCAAAGCUUUUGCGGUACAGGAUGGACCCGCGUCUGAUUAGCUAGUUGGUAAGGUAACGGCUUACCAAGGCGACGAUCAGUAGCCGACCUGAGAGGGUGAUCGGCCACAUUGGAACUGAGACACGGUCCAAACUCCUACGGGAGGCAGCAGUGGGGAAUAUUGCACAAUGGGCGAAAGCCUGAUGCAGCAACGCCGCGUGAGCGAUGAAGGCCUUCGGGUCGUAAAGCUCUGUCCUUAAGGAAGAUAAUGACGGUACUUGAGGAGGAAGCCCCGGCUAACUACGUGCCAGCCGCCGCGGUAAGAC
rnacentral:rRNA from 1 species